rnacentral:piRNA from 1 species
GCCCANAUUGAGCCUACGGUCCACUUAGAG